rnacentral:lncRNA from 13 species
AGACUGUCCUCCUGCAGGCUGAAUCACUUCUAGGUGGGGCUGCAGGAUCUGGAUUGGUGGUCCUGGUGAAGUCAUGCAAAAAACUUGGCAGGACAUCUCAAAAGGCCAAUCUAUAAUAGUGUGUUAUUUGCAGGAGUAACUGGGAAAGCGCAUAUCUUAUAACUUCCGGGAUAAUGGCUGGCAAUCCUUCAUGUCUGUGCCUUAGCAGGACUCUGGCUCCCUCCUCCCCCAGCCUGAUGGCCUCCCAUUAGCUUUGCAAAAGCAGUUGGCUUUUGGGCAAGGCCUAUUAAUCAUUUAAACUGCAGCCUAAAUGUCUUCCAAAGUUAGCUUGGCCCAAUAGCCCAGGAACAAUUAAGGGAAAGGCAAGGUGGGGGAUAGGGGGAGAGUUAGCUUAGCUUACUGUUAUAAUUUUUCUCACCAAUAUAAUUUUUGCCAAGGCAGUUUCACCCACAUACUGGUAGAACACAGUCUAUAGGUAUGCUGAAGGCAAUUCUUAGAUGUGAUUGAAAUCCAUAGACUGAGCAAGACAGAUGACCCUCCAUAAAGUAGUGGGGCUUCAUCUGAUAAAUUCAAGGCCUCAAGAGCAGAGACUGAGGUUCUAGAAGAAGCAAUUCUGCCUUAAGAUCAUAGCACAGAAACCAUGCCUGAGCUUCGAGCCUGCUGCCCUGCAGACUUCAGACUCAAGGGCCUAACCUAGAGUAGGUGCUCGGCAAACACUUCAGGGACAGUGAAAGAUGGAACACUAUUUGCCGUGUGAAGAAAGAAGGAUUCAAACGCUGGCCAAGGAAGCAGAAUGAUUCCAACGUGGCUGCAGCUUGCACCCUCUUCUGAAUCCCUGUGGAUAGUCUGAUGGCUUUGGCCAGCUUCAUUCACGUCUUGGGCAAUACUGCCUUUCCUGCCAUCUCUGCUCCUGCACCAGCACAUACCAGCCAGGCUGCACUGCUGUCUGUCCGCUUAGGCACCAGGCUCUACAGCAAGACGCUUCUGUGGACUCAGCACCGUGGAAGCUGUCCAAAGCCAUUAGUGGAAGAAGAGCCUUCAUCUUCAUUAGGGUUGAGUGGCUA